rnacentral:misc_RNA from 1 species
AUUCCCCAUCCACAAGAAACCAGUUUCUACAUCAAUGGUAAUGGUAAGUAAGUAACAGUGAUUCCGAGAGUUUUAAUUUCUCUCCUAAUUAGCAGAGGUUGUAACAGCACAAGUAAUCAAAGCAAUUCUCUGUGCAAUCAUAACAGCAAGAACAACAUUCAUUGAUAACUUUGUCCUGUUCAUCUUCUCCUGCCUGGUAAUUCCUCUCUAUGGCCUGUGCUGCUGGUGGCUCCAUCUCUC